rnacentral:rRNA from 1 species
GGGUUGUGAGGUUAAGCGACUAAGCGUACACGGUGGAUGCCCUGGCAGUCAGAGGCGAUGAAGGGCGUGCUAAUCUGCGAUAAGCGCCGGUAAGGUGAUAUGAACCGUUAUAACCGGCGAUACCCGAAUGGGGAAACCCAGUGUGACUCGUCACACUAUCAUUAACUGAAUCCAUAGGUUAAUGAGGCGAACCGGGGGAACUGAAACAUCUAAGUACCCCGAGGAAAAGAAAUCAACCGAGAUUCCCCCAGUAGCGGCGAGCGAACGGGGAGGAGCCCAGAGCCUGAAUCAGCAUGUGUGUUAGUGGAAGCGUCUGGAAAGGCGCGCGAUACAGGGUGACAGCCCCGUACACAAAAGCGCAUGUGCUGUGAGCUCGAUGAGUAGGGCGGGACACGUGGUAUCCUGUCUGAAUAUGGGGGGACCAUCCUCCAAGGCUAAAUACUCCUGACUGACCGAUAGUGAACCAGUACCGUGAGGGAAAGGCGAAAAGAACCCCGGCGAGGGGAGUGAAAAAGAACCUGAAACCGUGUACGUACAAGCAGUGGGAGCCCCACCACUAAGCCAGUGGUGAACUCCACAUACGCAUCCUUUGCUGAGGAUACGGUUAACGGAGCGAAAGCGACGUUCAACCUCAAAAGAAGCAGAG